UUAUUUGGGCGUAAGCGCGCGCAGGUGGUUUCUUAAGUCUGAUGUGAAAGCCCACGGCUCAACCGUGGAGGGUCAUUGGAAACUGGGAGACUUGAGUGCAGAAGAGGAAAGUGGAAUUCCAUGUGUAGCGGUGAAAUGCGUAGAGAUAUGGAGGAACACCAGUGGCGAAGGCGACUUUCUGGUCUGUAACUGACACUGAGGCGCGAAAGCGUGGGGAGCAAACAGGAUUAGAUACCCUGGUAGUCCACGCCGUAAACGAUGAGUGCUAAGUGUUAGAGGGUUUCCGCCCUUUAGUGCUGAAGUUAACGCAUUAAGCACUCCGCCUGGGGAGUACGGCCGCAAGGCUGAAACUCAAAGGAAUUGACGGGGGCCCGCACAAGCGGUGGAGCAUGUGGUUUAAUUCAAAGCAACGCAAAGAACCUUACCAGGUCUUGACAUCCUCUGAAGACCCUAGAGAUAGGGCUUCGCCUUCGGG
rnacentral:rRNA from 1 species